AUGUUGUUCUUGAAGAAGAAUCUGCGUGUUGGCACUGUACUGCCGCAAGGAACCAUGUUUGCACGAGGCGGUUCACCAAAGUCUGUCAAUUCUGUCUCUUCUCCGUUGGAGUCAAAGUACUUGUCAACCAUCCUUUCACAUUACAAGAUACCUCACAGCUCGAUAAAGGCCCAGCAGGUAGCUGACACCCUUCGUUCAUGCGGCAAACCGGCUGACAAGGAGGAGCCACACAUGUGCUUCUCAUCUCGCGAAGCAAUGGCCAGGUUUGCUACCAAGGCUUUGGGAGUCAGCGGCGCACGAGCAGCCAUUACAAGAAUUCAUGGGCAUGAGACCCCCAACACCAUGUAUGUUGUGGCACAGAUCGCCCAAGCCAGCAAUAAUGCGGUGCCAUGCCACCCUAUGGAUUUCCCCUAUGAGGUCUUUUAUUGCCAUCGGCCAAGAGAGGUGCAGUCUUUGACGGUGCAACUCAAGGGCUUGAAAGAUGGAACACCAGGCGUGACGGCAACAGCAAUGUGCCACAUGAACACAUCUGAUUGGGACGAGCAGUACUUUGAGCUGUUAGGCGGAGAGCGUGGUGAACCUAUUUGCCACUACAUGCCUACCAAUUACAUCAUGUUCUAUUAG
rnacentral:rRNA from 1 species